UACAGAGACUGCAAGCGUUAUUCGGAUUCACUGGGCGUAAAGGGAGCGCAGGCGGCCGUGUGUGUGAGGCGUGAAAGCCCGGAGCUCAACUCCGGAAUUGCACCUCAAACUACACGGCUAGAGCAUUGGAGAGGGUAGCGGAAUUCACGGUGUAGCAGUGAAAUGCGUAGAUAUCGUGAGGAACACCAGAGGCGAAGGCGGCUACCUGGACAAUUGCUGACGCUCAGGCACGAAAGCGUGGGGAGCAAAAGGG
rnacentral:rRNA from 1 species